rnacentral:lncRNA from 1 species
AUGAGGGGGGGGGGGGGGGGGUCUGUCCUUUGGCUAAUCUUCAAUCAUUUCAGCAAAAGCCUUAACCAGCAUAGCCUCUUGCUUCCUCACACAUUCACACACACACACACACACACUCGCAUACACACUCACUUUGUAAAUAGUAUAAAUAUAUACAAAUAUAAUAUUAGAAAAAGAGUAAUUUAUGAUGUCACAUUUCUGUAUCAAGCUGUGCGCAUGAAGGAUCAUUUUUUGUAUGGUUUUGAUCGAGGCCUGUUUUACACUUUUACGUUUACUGUCUUUGAAGCCUUUACUUUGUUUAUUAAGCCUUUACUAUGUUUGAAAUGUUUUCAUUUUUUUAUAUAUGUCAGCCAUCCAUGGAGUGCUUUAUUGUCAUGUCAGAAUGGGAGUGUCCUAUGUAAACACACUGAGCACCCCUCGGCCAAUGGGAGUGCUUCCUGCGCUGUCCUAUGUAAACACACUGAGCACCCCUCGGCCAAUGGGAGCGCUCCCUGUGCUGUCCUAUGUAAACACACUGAGCACCCCUCGGCCAAUGGGAGCGCUCCCUGUGCUGUGAGUGCUGUCCUAUGUAAACACACUGAGCACCCCUCGGCCAAUGGGAGCGCUCCCUGUGCUGUGAGUGCUGUCCUAUGUAAACACACUGAGCACCCCUCGGCCAAUGGGAGCCUUUCCAUGGCAGUCACACUUGUGUUCUGAUUUGUCUUUGGGUCUUUGGUUACGAUUAAAGUCUUUUGGAUUUUACAAACACUUCCAUUAGUCCUUCUUCAUAUGACCCCCCCCCCCCCCCUUAAUCUGCAGAAACAGCUCUAUACACACACACACACACACACACACACACACACACACACACACACACACACACACACGACGUCCAUACACAUACAUGUUGUGUUAGGUUUCAUUGACAUUAUUGAUUUUGGCGUUAUCUUCUCUUUUAUUUCCUCUUUUCUAUCCCUCUAUCUCUAUCCAUCUCUCCUUCUCUCCCUCUCUCCUUCUCUAUCUCCAACCCCCUCUCUCUAUCCCUCUUUCCGUGUGGGGGUAUGGCUGUGUGUUGUUUGUGUUUGUGUAUGGCUGUGUGUUGUUUGUGUGUGUGUGUGGCUGUGUGUGUGUGUGUGUGUGUGUGUUUAAGUUUUCUGUGGUAGUAAAAGUGUCAGAUAAGCUGGGCUGAUGGGCCACUAAUGCCACUGGGCCACACCUUCAACACACACACACAAUAACACGCACACACACACACCUUUCUCACACACACACACACAAUAACACACACACACGAAUAAACAAACACACUCAAACA